rnacentral:lncRNA from 1 species
GCUCUGGCGCAGAAAUCUCAUCUCGUCCUAUCCUUAUGUUUAUAUCUCAGUGCUUCUAGUCUCAUCAAAAGUGUAACUCAAAUGCUCAAUAUCUCUAUUUAUCAUCAUAACUCCAUCUCAUCUUAAUAAUAAUCUCAUAUCUCAGUACCGUAGUACUCUCUGCAGUGUCUCGACACUACUAUAACUCAUAAAGGUAUGGAUUCACUCGUGAUUCCAUUCUUCAGCUCUUCCUUAUCAGGCACGCUCAG